rnacentral:rRNA from 1 species
UUGACGGUACCCUACUAGAACGGAGCCGCUAACUUCGUGCCAGAAGCGUCGGUAAUACGGGGGCUCCAAGCGUUAUCCGGUGUUAUUGGGCGUAAAGAGUCGUGUAGGUGGUUGGGUAAGUCAUCUUUCAAAUAUCUUUGCUUAACAAAGAGGAGGGGGAUAAUACUGCUCGACUAGAAUUUUCUCAAGGGAGAUCGGAACUGAGGGAGGAGUAGUGAAAUGCGUUGAUACCCUCGGGAACACCAGUGGCGUAGGCGGAUCUCUGGGAGAAGAUUGACACUGAGACACGAAAGCUAGGGGAGCGAAGCAGAUUAGAGACCUGCGUAGUCCUAGCCGUAAACGCAUGCUUGCUAGCUGCAUGAAUCUACCUUCGGGUGGUAUCGUGUGGCGAAGGUAACCCGUUAAGCAAGCCGCCUGGAAAGUACGGCCGCAAGGCUGAAAUUCAAAGGAAUUGGCGGGGAGGCACACAACCAGUGGAACAUGUGGUUUAAUUCGAGACUAACCGAAGAACCUCACCAGGGUUUGACGUGUAGCUGCACGUCUUAAGAAAUUAAGACUCUCUUGAAGGUGCUACACAGGUGCUGCAUGGCUGUCGUCAGCUCGUUCCGUGAGGAGUGCCCUUAAGUGGGACAACGAGCGCAACCCCUAUUACAUGUUAGAAAUGUCAUGUAAGACUGCCUUGCCAUUUGGCGGGGAGGAAGGAGGGGCAGACGUCAAGUCCGCAUGGUCCUUAUGCCCUGGGCUACACACAUGUUACAAUGAGUACGGCAAUGAGUCUGUCGCGAGCACGUAAGUGUAAGCUAAUCUCUUAAAUGUACUCUCAGUGGGGAUUGAGGUCUGCAACUCGACCUCAUGAACACGGAAUUGGUAGUAAUCGCGGGUCAGCUAUACCGCGGUGAUACGUUCUUGCCUCUUGCACACACCGCCCGUCAAACCAGCAAAGU